rnacentral:lncRNA from 1 species
UCUAGACGGUUUUUUUCUCUAUGUGAAAUAAGAUUUUUCUCUGAAAUUUGUAACUUGCAUCUGUGUGAUAUAAUCUCUUUUCUUGGUGAGAAUGAGGGUGAUUUGAGCGAUCUUUGAAAGAUCUUUGAGUGCUAGUUAUAAAUUUGAUAUAAAGGGGCUAAAAAGAACUUGAAGAAAUCACUGAUUUCUUCAUAUAUUCUGUACUAUUUCUUUGUAGAAAUUAGUGGAUAUUGAGCUUAAUCUCUUGGCAGGUGCUCAACGAGUGAGUAGGUCCAUUUACACUUAAUAUCCGGGCUCUUUUUUAGGGCAAAACAAUUCUGUCGUCUUUGUUUCUUUUACGUUUUUGCAAUUUUAAACUCCGUACUAUACGUUUCAAAUAAUUGUUGAAACACUCUGGGACUAACA